AUUGAACGCUGGCGGCAGGCCUAACACAUGCAAGUCGAACGGUAACAGGAAGAAGCUUGCUUCUUUGCUGACGAGUGGCGGACGGGUGAGUAAUGUCUGGGAAACUGCCUGAUGGAGGGGGAUAACUACUGGAAACGGUAGCUAAUACCGCAUAACGUCGCAAGACCAAAGAGGGGGACCUUCGGGCCUCUUGCCAUCGGAUGUGCCCAGAUGGGAUUAGCUAGUAGGUGGGGUAACGGCUCACCUAGGCGACGAUCCCUAGCUGGUCUGAGAGGAUGACCAGCCACACUGGAACUGAGACACGGUCCAGACUCCUACGGGAGGCAGCAGUGGGGAAUAUUGCACAAAGGGCGCAAGCCUGAUGCAGCCAUGCCGCGUGUAUGAAGAAGGCCUUCGGGUUGUAAAGUACUUUCAGCGGGGAGGAAGGGAGUAAAGUUAAUACCUUUACUCAUUGACGUUACCCGCAGAAGAAGCGCCGGCUAACUCCGUG
rnacentral:rRNA from 1 species